ACCUUUGCCCGCAGUUUUGGUUUCACCUCUCCCGAUUCCGUUGGAGAAGAGUGAUGAAAAAGGGAAUCAGGUGCAAGUCCUGAACAGACCCGCUGCUGUAAAUCCUUUCAAAAUCUUUGAAUAUUCUAUAAGUCACUGUCCAGUAUCCGGGAUGGGAAGGCAUUCAAAGAGGGAUGAGUCAGAAGACCUGCCAAGACAACAUAGUUUUA
rnacentral:ncRNA from 2 species